rnacentral:rRNA from 1 species
AAUGAACGUUGGCGGCGUGGAUUAGGCAUGCAAGUCGAGCGAGCUGUGUAGCAAUGCACGGAAAGCGGCGAAAGGGUGAGUAAUGCGUGGCUACGUACCCUCGGAACCGGGAUAGCGGCGGGAAACUGCCAUUAAUACCGGAUAACGUCUACGGACCAAAGGUGUGAUUCCGUCCGAGGAUCGGGCCGCGUGUUAUUAGCUAGUUGGUAAGGUAAUGGCUUACCAAGGCAAAGAUGGCUAGUGGGUGUGAGAGCACGACCCACCACACUGGGACUGAGAUACUGCCCAGACACCUACGGGUGGCUGCAGUCGAGAAUCUUCGGCAAUGGGCGAAAGCCUGACCGAGCGACGCCGCGUGCGGGAUGAAGGCCCUCGGGUUGUAAACCGCUGUCGAGAAAGAACAAAUCCCUAGGAGUUAUCUUCUAGGGUUGAGUGAUCUCUGGAGGAAGGACGGGCUAAGUUCGUGCCAGCAGCCGCCGUAA